UGUAGCGAUGUCUGUACACUGGUGCAUGCACCAGACGCACAGUUCUCAGCCUCCUUGCUUUUCAAGUGAGGCACUGGAAGGGUUAAGCCGAGGAUGCUCUGGUUCCUAGAGAGGCUCAAAAGCGCCCAGGCCUGAGGGGCGGAGAAUGUAAUUGAAGGCUGGCCUCUUCCUGUCUUCCCUCCCAGAUAGGAAAGCGCUAGAACAGCAGGAAGUUAGCCGCCUACCUUUGCUGCGGGCCUGGCAGAUUAAGGCGGUGGGGUGCAAGGCGCUGUGAGUUGCAUGCAGGCAGGGGGCAGAGGGCUUGAGACAAAAGCGGAUGACGGGAGCCGGAGGGAGCGAGCCCUGCUGGAAACGCUUCCAGGUUUCCUCCCCGCCACGUUCCAGUUCUGUUCGCUUUGGACCCAGAUGUGUCACAGAGCGGAUCGUAGAUCGCGUCUGGAAUUGCAGGCUCAGUUUCAAAGGGGCACAUCAUAAUGAUCGGAAAUUGUUUCUAUUACAAAUGUGAAAUCCAGCAGUUGCAGGGAAGUGACAGCAGGCGAGAGUUAUUGCCUCCCUGUCCUGCGUCUAAACUUCUCGGGGGGGGGGGGGGUCUCAUUGACUACCGUUGGAAGCAGACUACGAGGUUAAAUAGGCGUUUGAUCUUGCCAGGCUCUUCUUAUGUUUUAAAUGGAAUGCAACUUGUUGGAGAAGAAAGGGGUGGGAGGUGUUUAAGACGGGGGUCUUCUAAAGUUGUAAGACCUACAUGUUUGCUUUUCUUAACAAAAUGCCCAAGCUGUGCCAUUGAACCAUCUUCCUGCCACGUUAUAUUAACUUAUUGAGAAUAUUUAUAAACCGCUUUGAAAACAGAAAGAGUUCUCAAUGUGGGUAGCACAGAAAAGAGUAAAGAGGGGAAACCCUCGACUUGCACUCUGAAAUCUCACUGAUUCCUGCAGCAACCAGUUCUUUGACUGGAGCUCUUCAAAAUCUGCAGCAUCGCCAACAAAUUCAGUUGUGCCACUUGUGAGGAGUCGGGCAAUGUGGCUAGACAUGGAGAUGUGAGAUGUGUCUCCCCUCUCAAGGUGUGAUUAGUUGCCAGGAUAGAUGCAGAUUCCUCCCAGCACCCCACAGUGUCACAGUCAUGGAGAUGCAAUUGCCCACAUCUUGAAUAAAAGUGUUACCAAGAUCAACCUAGCUACACACUGAGAAGUUGGCUACAAAUACUUUAUUUUUUUAACUUGAGUGGCUUGCUAUAGUAACAUUCAAGUAUCCUUGUGUUUGUAGCUGUUGUACUUCCAAGCCUUAUAGAAACUGUUUCCUUCACCAUAUGCGAAACCACUUCCUACCAAGUCUGGGCAGACAAAAUGGCUGCUGAAUUGAUCAAAAGAGUUGUAAGUUCCAGACUGCCUCUCCUGCCCAACUUCGACCUGCCCUGUGAGGUCAUCUCAGGUGCAUAUUGCUGUACUGUACAAUAUUCCAUGGGCCAGCUGGACAGCCAGGAAAAUAAACAAAUGGAUCAUUGAACAAAUUAAUCCAGAAUUUUCACUCGAGGCACAAAUGACCGGGCUCAAACUAUCAUAUUUCGGACACCUUAAGUGAAAACCCAGCUCCCUUGAGAAGUACACAAUGGUGGGAAAAGUUGAAGGCAAGAGAAGAAGAGGACAACCAGCAGCAAGGUGGAUGGACUUGAUUACGACAGCAAUGAAUGCACCACUGGGAGACCUUAGAGGCCAAGUUGAAGACAGAUCAUCCUGGGGAGAAUCUAUCUAUGUGGUCGCUAAGAGUCGACACCGACUUGAUGGCACUUAAUCAAUCAACUAUAAAUAUUUAAAUAAUAAAUUAUUAAAUACUAUUUCCUCUGUUGUUA